rnacentral:rRNA from 1 species
GAUGAACGCUGGCGGCGUGCUUAACACAUGCAAGUCGAACGGAAAGGCCCAAGCUUGCUUGGGUACUCGAGUGGCGAACGGGUGAGUAACACGUGGGUGAUCUGCCCUGCACUUCGGGAUAAGCCUGGGAAACUGGGUCUAAUACCGGAUAGGACCACAUUUUGGAUGGUGUGGUGGAAAGUUUUUCGGUGUGGGAUGAGCUCGCGGCCUAUCAGCUUGUUGGUGGGGUAAUGGCCUACCAAGGCGUCGACGGGCAGCCGGCCUGAGAGGGUGUACGGCCACAUUGGGACUGAGAUACGGCCCAGACUCCUACGGGAGGCAGCAGUGGGGAAUAUUGCACAAUGGGCGCAAGCCGGAUGCAGCGACGCCGCGUGGGGGAUGACGGCCUUCGGGUUGUAAACUCCUUUCGCUAGGGACGAAGCGUUAUGUGACGGUACCUGGAGAAGAAGCACCGGCUAACUACGUG